AAUUUCAACAUCUGCUUUUAAUUCAUUUAAAAGUGUUGAGCAACCAGUGAUUAAAAAAAGAGCUGGAAACUAUAAUAUUUCACCAUUAUCCUUCUAGUAGUUGUCUUUGCUAAUUGAAGUUGACUCUUAAUAGGCUAUAUGGAUGGACUCAAACUAAACAUUUGGACAGGGAUUGACCCAUUCUUGGGUUUGGGAUGGUUAUGCUUUAAAGUGGGAGCCUGUUUUACUCUUUUCUCUUUUCAAAUUUGUUCCCAGAUGUUCCAGAUAAAAGGUUUUUAUUAGGGUUGAGACACUGCUGGUUAGAAACAGAGAUAGUAAACAAUAUGUUAGCUGAAAUAAGCCUUUAUUUUAAAGACUUAACUUCCUGCUUUUUGUGAGUCCACCCAUUCACAAUAUGUAAACAAUAUCCUUAGAUAAUGACUGUGCUGUUCUUUAUGUAUCAUCUGUCUCCAUUCUCCUCAUACACUUAUACUCACCCUUCCUUUUAGGCAUAUGUCUUUUCAAAUAAAAGAGUUAGCAAGUAACCACAUAAGGUACAUGAAAUUACAUUAUAAAUGCUUUUAACAAUAUGUGUAAAAAUACAGGUAUGUAUCACAAUUUUUAUGAAUAUAUUAUUUGUAGACUGAUUUCUCUAAUACCCAUGCUAACUUGUACAAAGCUU
rnacentral:lncRNA from 1 species